rnacentral:lncRNA from 1 species
AAACAUUAAUCGAUUUACCUCAAGAGCAUUCGCACACUCGCAAAUCUACAAAAUACCGGUUUUUGGCAUUUCGGAUUUUCGACUUUUGCCGAUCUAGACUAAGAAAGAGGGUGUUAGUUACACACCUGUUUGCGACGAUAUGCUGACGAGAUCCACACACGAACCGCCUACAAUUGGAUUACUAACACGUUAAUCUAACUAUUCAAAUACAAACUACGUAUUAACCCCUUACAAUAUUCGGCCAACCACACCUACAGAUCAUAGUAAGCUUAUAAGAAAUCAAUAAGCAACUCAUUAACAAAUUUUUGUCAAUGUUUACCACAUAAUCAUAAUUUCACUGCAAGCUGUCUUCCUGAGCAACAGUCACUAAAUUAUUUAUAACUGGAGCUACGAAACUCCAAAUCAAGUUCCGUUAAUUUUCCCUGAAAAUAGACUCAUAUAUACUCUAUCCAUAAAAUUUUCAGAAUUUUUGGUUUAGCCAAUCAAUACCAGAUUUUUCUCAAAGUUUCCCAUGUUUCACUGUUUGACUAAUCUGACCACUCUUCAUUACGAAUCAAAUUUCUCAUUGUACAGAAUUCAAAAUAUGUUCUUGUUUAUUUCAUUAGAAACUAGACUCAAUAAUAUUUAAUUACAUAAUUUAUUUAGCUUCUAAUUCAUCUCCCACAAUUUAUGGUGAUUUUCCAAAGUCACGUUACUGCUGCUGUCCCAAGCAGAUUUAUUACCAAAUCACUCUUUCACACAUACCUUGCAUGCAUGUUAUUUAAACAUGUAUAUCACCAAUCAAUCAUCACAUAUUUAUGAUUUUACUUAAGAAUAAUCUCUAUUUCAUCAUUUUAAAGCACAACAUGUUAGCUGAUUUUUCCCUUUAACAUCUAAGGCACAUGCAUGCUCAUUUGUUUGGCUCAACUUCACCUAUCUUCCGUUUUUUUCAUCAAAAGAACAUGAAACAACAACCAUUUCCUUCAUUUUAAUUCAUGACUAAAUGCUCACAACACAACUAAAAACCAAAAUAUGCUUCAAGAGUUAAGGUAGAAUCAAGAAGAACUCAUGAACAUCAAGAUAGAAGCAAGGUACCAAGAACUUACCUUCAAUUUUCCUCCUCCUAAUGACCGAAUACUCAAGAGCUUUCUCCUCUCCUUUCUCUUCUCUAACUUUCAGCUGUGAUGAACAAAGAUGGACAAAAUUUUGUUCUUUUCACCCCUUUUUCUUUUAAUAAAAC